rnacentral:rRNA from 1 species
UAGGGAAUUUUCCACAAUGGACGAAAGUCUGAUGGAGCAACGCCGCGUGAGUGAAGAAGGGUUUCGGCUCGUAAAACUCUGUUGUUAAAGAAGAACAUAUCUGAGAGUAACUGUUCAGGUAUUGACGGUAUUUAACCAGAAAGCCACGGCUAACUACGUGCCA